UAGGGAAUCUUCUGCAAUGGACGAAAGUCUGACCGAGCAACGCAGCGCGAGUGAAGAAGGUUUUCGGAUCGUAAAACUCUGUUGUUAGAGAAGAACAAGGACGUUAGUAACUGAACGUCCCCUGACGGUAUCUAACCAGAAAGCCACGGCUAACUACGUGCCAGCAGCCGCGGUAAUACGGAGGUGGCAAGCGUUGUCCGGAUUUAUUGUGCGUAAAGCGAGCGCAGGCGGUUUCGUAAGUCUGAUGUGAAAGCCCCCGGCUCAACCGGGGAGGGUCUUUGGAAACUGAGAGACUUGAGUGCAGAAGCGGAGAGUGGAAUUCCAUGUGUAGCGGUGAAAUGCGUAGAUAUAUGGAGGAACACCAGUGGCGAAGGCUGCUCUCUGGUCUGUAACUGACGCUGAGGCUCGAAAGCGUGGGGAGCAAACAGG
rnacentral:rRNA from 1 species